rnacentral:rRNA from 1 species
AGUUGAAGGCGAACUGCUCAGUAACACGUAGCUAACCUGCCCUUUGGUCUGGAAUAACCUCGGGAAACUGAGGGUAAUGCCGGAUGGACGAUAUUUUCUGGAAUGAUAUAUCCUCUAAAGGAAACGCCAAAGGAUGGGGCUGCGGUCGAUUAGGUUGUUGGCGGGGUAAAGGCCCACCAAGCCUUUGAUCGGUAAGGGCUCUUAGCGGAGGAGCCCUGAGAGGGAAUCUGAGACACUAUUCCCAGCCCUACGGGGUGCAGCAGUCGGGAAACUUUUACAAUGCGCGCAAGCGUGAUAGAGCAAGCCUAAGUGCGUUUCCUUAUUUUGGAAACGCUUUUGUACGAUGUAAAAAGUCGUACGAAUAAGGACCGGGCAAGACUGGUGCCAGCCGCCGCGGUAAUACCAGCGGUCCGAGUCGCAUCCACGUUUAUUGGGUCUAAAACAUCCGUAGCUUGUCAUGUAAGUCUCUUGUUAAAUCUGGCAUCUUAAGUGUCAGGCAGGCAAGAGAUACUGCAUGGCUUGAGACCGGGAGGCGUAAGAAGUACGGUUAGGGUAGCGGUUAAAUGCGUUGAUCCUUACUGGACUAACAAUCGCGAAGGCAUCUUACGAGAACGGUUCUGACGGUCGGGGAUGAAGGCUAGGGUCGCAAAACGGAUUAGAUACCCGUGUAGUCCUAGCAGUAAACACUGCACACUAAACAUCGGUGCCUCUUCGAGAGGCAUCGGUGCUGUAGGGAAGCCGGAGAGUGUGCUACCUGGGAAGUAUAGCCGCAAGGCCGAAACUUAAAGGAAUAGCCGGGGGGGUACUACAACCAGUGACGCGUGCGGUUCAAUUAGAUUCUACACCGUGAACCUCACCAGGAUCGACAGCAGAAUGAAGGUCAGUCUGAAGGGCUUACCUGACACGCUGAGAGGAGAUGCAUGGCCGACGUCAGCCUGUGUCGUGAGAUGACCUGUUAAAUCAGGUAACAGGCGAGACCC